rnacentral:lncRNA from 1 species
GGUGCUCCUUCCCGGCUGCAGCUGGCCGCCAGCGCUUGUCGGGUGUUAGUUCCGGGCCCAGCUUGGGCUGGUGGUAGGUCGGGAGAGGGCGCGGUCUCCCAGCCUUUGCGCAGAUUGCGGGGCACCAGGUGGGGCCGAGGCGACGCCGAACGCCGGCAGGCCGGAAACCGCGCAGCCCCGCUGGACCUCGCUGAUUGCCGGCGGCACCGGUGGUUUCGCGACCUUGAACAGGUGACUCCAAUAGCUCCAGGAGGGCAGCGAGCCCUUCGCGGAACUACCAGAUAAGCCAUGCUUGAGGCUGUCGUAGCCUAGUGGGUAGUCGUGAAAUGCAGAUGCGCCUUUGCCCCUCAGAUAGCAUCUUUCAUAGUAGGAUGGGGAAAAAACACCGUUUCCUUACCGGGGAAUCAGCCUGUAAGAGCAGAAUGCCCCAAAUCAGCAUCGCCAUAAAAACGGAGUAGGUGACUUCGCAACCUGCAAUAAUAGGAUUGAGUUUAUUCAAGCCGUAUUAUUUGUUCAUGUGACACACAUUAAUUGACUGGCACGCAGAGAAAGCUGUAAAAAAUCUUUGUAAGGUUACAUAAAAUUAAGAGAAAAGUCUGGAAAUAUGUAAAAGUUUAUUGAGGAAAGGAAGGUGUUUCUGAUACCAAAUAAGAAACACACACACACACUCAGCAAUACUUUGCCCCAACAUGUGUUUACUUAUUACACCAAGUGGAGUUUUUUAGGUCCUGAUUGUCCCUGACGCUCUGAUAAAAAAUAUUGAGACUAGCAAAAGAACAGAAAAUUCAGAAGAAGAAUCAAGGAAACAAAGGUCUAGUUUUAAAAGCCUUGGUCAACUUCACACAAAUUAAUUUUAACAUUACUUAAUACAUUUUUUUGGCAUCUAUUAUCCGUGUUCUUUUCGGUCCCUGGUGACAUAAUGUACCCUAAUGUUGCAUUUUAACUUUGAAUCUCUGAAUCCCAUAUGUGUUCUUCAGGGUCAGAGAAAUACUAGAUUUUCCCUUUUUCUCAUUGUUUAUAAACAGAGAAACGCAGAAGAUGCUGAACAUGAGGAGAGGAAGGCUAUGCCUUCACCUUUGGUAACACAAAAAACAGUGGCCAUAAGAAAAAAUGUGAAGGACACACUGUUGGAUCAAUGAGUUGACACAAAGUUACAGCACAGCCUGAGUUGUAGUCCGAGCUAAUGAUGAACCUAAAAAUGGUAUUUCAGUCAGAUUAAUCAUGAAAUGUUUGCCCCCUGCCGGCGCAGUGGCUCAAGCCUGUGAUCCCAGCACUUUGGGAGGCCGAGGCGGGGUGGAUCACCUGAGGUCGGGAGUUCGAGGCCAGGCUGGCCAGCGUGGUGAAUAUCCAUCUCUACUAAAAAUACAAAAAUUAGCCGAGCAUGGCGGCAUGUGCCUGUAAUCAUGGCUACUCAGAGGCUAAGGCAGGAGAAUCGCUUGAAACCCGGAGACGGACGCUGCAGUGAGCCGAGAUUGUGCCGCUGCACUCCAGCCUGGGUGACAGAGCAAGACUCUAUCUCAAAAAAAGAAAGAAAGAAAGAAAUGUUUGCCUUCUAAUCGGUCAGGCAAAAAGGAGGCCGUAAAUUUUAAAUUUUCUACUAAAUGGAUAUUCUUCUAAAUGAAUAAAUCCAUACAGAUUUACUUCUCAGGAAGGAUUAUAAAAAUGCAUCACGAAAGAAUGCAAAAGCAAAAAUAAUUGAAUUUCAAGUCCAGUAGGGUACAGUCUGUAUACGUAUGGCGUGACAUUUGUAGGAGAACAUACCACAGUAGAUACUCUUGAAGCAAUGUCUUCUGAACAAGUUAAAAAGAUGAUUCAGAUAAAAGCUUUUCUGCUAGAGGAGAUCUUUAAAGUCAGUAAGUCUGGCUUACUUUGAAAGCACAUGUCCCCAAAACUUUUAUUUGUCAGGAGUUUAGUUUAUUUUACCCUCUCCCACUCCCUAUUUUCUGUAAGACCGUGACUUUUCUUGCCAACUGUGAGGCAGUAUCUGUGGCAUGCCACCUCCAAGCUUAGCAAGGAAUAACUAUAUUGGAAAUAUGAUAAAAAGUGUUGUCUCGAAUCAUUGAUAGAAGAAUAUAUUCAUUUAUUCAUUCAACAGAUGUUUACUUAGCACUUGCUAUGUAGUAGGUGAUAAGGCAUAAUGGUGACUGAGACAAUAUAGCUUCUGCCUUCGUGGAGCUAAGUGGGAAUUCAGUAAAAGCUAUAGAUGUAAAUGGCAAAAACAACCAAAUCAAAAAACCCGAAGACAAAAAUACUAAAGACUUUAAUAAUGGAUGGUUUGAUUUCUACAAAAACAGCCAGACUUUACGUCCUUUGAAAAUGUGAAGGUGUUAAAUAUGCACUGUCUGACAAAUGUUCAAUUGCUGCAGGGAUGGUUAUGCUGUAGUCACUUAAAAUUAAUAUAGCUUCAUAUUGUUGAAACUGGAAAGAUAAAUCCACCAAAGGAUGUGAAACCUGGUAGCGUGUUAGUAGAGAUAUGAGAAAUUAUCUUAGACACAUGGUUGUGGGUGAUAGAAGUCUGUUUCUUAUUGGCUCUACGAGACUUUGUGGAGAAUUGCCACCAAGAGACAGAGAGAGAGGGAGAAAGUCACCAAGAAAAAUAAUAAGAAGGCUAAGAAAGAAAAAGACAGGAACAAUAACAUAAGGUUGUUAAAAAGAUAGUACUUUUGGCCGGGUGUGGUGGCUUAACGCCUGUAAUCCCAGCACUUUGGGAAACCAAGGCAGGCAGAUCACCUGAAAUCAGGAGUUCAAGACCAGCUUGGCCAACAUGGCGAAACCCCAUCUGUACUAAAAAUACAAAAAUCAGCCGGGCAUGGUGGUGCGCCCCUGUAAUCGCAGCUACUUGGGACACUAAGACAGAAGAAUCGCUUGAACCCAG